CUACAUUCUAGGAAGGUACACUAUAUACUGCCCAGCUCUUGGAAGAUGGCAAAUCAAAUUUGGAGACAGUGGGUGCUCAUAACGAUUUUAUAUCCAUAUGGCUAGUGUAUAUUAUAUUUUGUUUAUACUGUGAUAGGUUACAGGUUUCCACAUUUCUUAGUUCAAAUUAUAAGACCAAUUUUGGGUGUCACUCACUCAAAAUUAGUAAUAGGAGAUAUGUAAUCGCCAA
rnacentral:lncRNA from 1 species